AACGAACGCUGGCGGCAUGCCUAACACAUGCAAGUCGAACGAGACCUUCGGGUCUAGUGGCGCACGGGUGCGUAACGCGUGGGAACCUGCCCUUAGGUUCGGAAUAACUCCCCGAAAGGGGUGCUAAUACCGGAUAAUGUCUUCGGACCAAAGAUUUAUCGCCUUUGGAUGGGCCCGCGUUGGAUUAGCUAGUUGGUAGGGUAAAAGCCUACCAAGGCGACGAUCCAUAGCUGGUCUGAGAGGAUGAUCAGCCACACUGGGACUGAGACACGGCCCAGACUCCUACGGGAGGCAGCAGUGGGGAAUAUUGGACAAUGGGCGAGAGACUGAUCCAGCAAUGCCGCGUGAGUGAUGAAGGCCUUAGGGUUGUAAAGCUCUUUUACCCGGGAUGAUAAUGACAGUACCGGGAGAAUAAGCUCCGGCUAACUCCGUG
rnacentral:rRNA from 1 species